UAAUUUUUUCAUCCUUGCUCGUACAAGCCGCGACUCUGCCAAAUUCAAGAAAUCACACUAAACAUUUUCUUGAUUAAGUCAAAGCAGAGCUUAUAAAACUAGAAUCCCAUUGCGAUCUAGCAACAAUGAGUUCCGACAUAAUCUAGUGAGUUCACCCGAUGACGUGAUAUUGAAUAAUCUCAAAGCGAAAUGUUGUUCUUCAACUGUAUUUGAAAAAAAACAAACUAGAGCUUGAAUGCUCAAUCCAGUUCAAAGAUUAAGCUGCUUGGUGUGAGUUAAGAAUUGUGAUUCUUAAUCAAAGUGGUGGUUGAGGCCGAGUACAACAAUGAAGUGGUGAUAAAGUCAAUAUCGGAGGGUUUGACUUCACUUCUACAACAAGUCAAAAGAAGAAGAAAAUAAGUUUUUCUUAGAUUUCUUUUGUUUGUAUUUUUGUUAAUUUUGUGAAAUUACAUAAUUGAGACUGUUGUAUUUUUUAUUGUUUAAUAUAGUAGACUGAUUUACCUAUGGCAUG
rnacentral:lncRNA from 1 species